GUGAUUAAAUCGAGCGUGUCUUCAUUGACCGCUCACCCUUCUCACCAUCCACAUACACCUGUGCACUGUUUAGCCUGAGCCGGUUUUCCGGUCCAGGUUAUCAUUUCAUACAAACCCUAGUCUUAUGAAUGUAAACGUUUUAAUAACAUAAUA
rnacentral:misc_RNA from 1 species